GACAAGAUGGAGGACGAGUGUUACUUAUCAUUUCUGGGUGUAAAGCGCCGUUAAACAACCUUUAUUCAUUUUCUUAUAAAAAGACUUAAUGAUCACAGGUAACUGAAUUUAAGUGGGGUUUUUUGAAUACACAAAAAAAAGGUUAAAUUUUACUAAUUUGUGGAGAAAAUCAAUACGUGAAAACGUAAAUCUAAAUUUAAUUGACGUUGAAAGGCUAAAGAAAAGAGAACAAACAGG
rnacentral:rRNA from 1 species